rnacentral:rRNA from 1 species
UACCAGCACCCCGAGUGGUCGGGACGUUUAUUGGGCCUAAAGCAUCCGUAGCCGGUUCUACAAGUCUUCCGUUAAAUCCACCUGCUUAACAGAUGGGCUGCGGAAGAUACUAUAGAGCUAGGAGGCGGGAGAGGCAAGCGGUACUCGAUGGGUAGGGGUAAAAUCCGUUGAUCCCUUGAAGACCACCAGUGGCGAAGGCGGCUUGCCAGAACGCGCUCGACGGUGAGGGAUGAAAGCUGGGGGAGCAAACCGG